rnacentral:rRNA from 1 species
UCAGAUUGUAAGGAAUCGUACCCCAAACCGACACAGGUGGUCGGGUAGAGAAUACCAAGGCGCUUGAGAGAACUCGGGUGAAGGAACUAGGCAAAAUGGUACCGUAACUUCGGGAGAAGGUACGCUCUUGAUGGUGAAGUCCCUUGCGGAUGGAGCUGACGAGAGUCGCAGAUACCAGGUGGCUGCAACUGUUUAUUAAAAACAC